UAGGGAAUUGACAGUUUUCUUCAGUUCAGAAAGUACUUUAUGUAUCAAACUAAUAUGUUUAAAUAUAUAAUUGAUAAGAUCGAAUAAACGUAAAUACAAGUCGUAAAUAAAGGUGUAAAACAAUACAACAUAUGUACAUGUACGGGUAUAUAUACAUGGCUGCGAAUAGAAAGGGUGAAUGGUUCAGGUUUCUACAUUGUUCAGUGAGAAGUCUUACGGAAGAUGGUUAUGCGUCUGGAUAAACAAGUCUACUUGAUCAGUAUCCUGCAUGAAAUUGGCAGUAUGCCACCCACGUGGUUAAUCUGGGUCAACAUUGUUUGAAAGGGGACAUGGUUUACUGUUCUGGAGUUGAAAAUGUUAAUGCAUCUUUAGUCCCUAUGGAUUUAUCAGUGGAGGAAGGAAGUCUAAAGUACAGGAAAAUUUGUAAAGACACUGGUACAGUUACUGUUGUGGAAGUUUAUUGAGCCAUAUCUUCAGGUGGGUCAGUGGUAAUACCAUUUGAUAUGUUAAACUGAAGAAGUUCCUCUGGAGUUGGUUUAUAACCAGGAAUCUCAGUUACACUGAAUAUUCGUUUAGUUUGUCCAUCAGAACCAUCAGGUUUUCUGAUUCGAAUAAAGAUUUUACCAUCUCUGGUCCAACAAGAGUUGAUGUGAUUUGCCUUGUAAGAUAUCCGUGCUAUGUUGAAAACAAAAGCUCUGUACCUUGUUAAAUCUUCAUUAAUGAAUAUAUCAUUUUUUACCCCGUUUACAUCCUUUUUGCCCCUCAUUAUAGCAACCUUGGUCUUGUAGCUAGAUAGUCUUACUAUAAUACGUUUAGGUUGUCCCUUGUGGGCUUUUCCAACACGGUGGCUAUUUUCGAUGUCAUGUGUUGAAAUGUUUGGUAUUAUCUUCCUUAAUACAGUCAAGGCUUCAUUUUCAACAAUUUCAUCUGCAGUUUCUUUAAUACCACUGAUGCGGAUACAAUUGCGCCUGCCAUAUUGUUCGAGAUCAUCGCAGCGGUCUUGUAUGAUACCAUUCAGCUCAAGGGAAACUGAUGCCAAUUCAAGUUUUAAUUCUGAUAUUUCUUUUUUAAGUGGGGUGGUGUGUUUGAUUAUUUCUUCUUGCAGAAUAAGUUCCACCAUGGGUCUGAAGGCAUUUUGCACUUCUGGAUUCUGGAAAGCUCUUACCAAUUCAAGAGUAAGAGCAUUAACUGUAUUCAUGAAUACAUUGUCUGCCAGUGGGCUUGGUGGGGAUGGGGUGGGUAUGUCUGUGGUGUCAGUCAUGGGUGUUGAACAGGCACUUAUUGUAUUAUUUUGAUAUUCUAGGCUGGUGUUAUUGUCUGGAUCAGCUGAGGGCAGGGUAGUGGAGGACAUGAAACUUGUAAUUUGGCUUUGCUGUGGUUGUGUUUUGCUUUUUUUCAGGUUGCUGUCCAGUAUACCAGAUGACAAUAGGAGUUCUGUCUGGAUUUGGAGUGGAGAACCUGUUUGUUUUCGUUUCCUACUGACAUUGUCCCGCCUCGGGGUAGACAUGGAUUUUAUGCUUUAUAUAUUUGCUGUUAAAUAAACGUUACAUACUGGAAAAAACUUUAGUUUAUUGACCUGUUCAUAUACCGGGUUACACAGUUAUAAGGUUUAUAAACGCCGAUGCCUUGUGUAAACAAUAACAAACAUAAACAAAAAUGGCUGCUCCAGUGUAUGAUUGAUGAUGUUAGGUUAUAGUAUUUGUAGGUAAUUCCUAAUUCAUCAACAGAAGAUGAGAUUAUGUAUCUUACUUAUUUUAAGUUCAUUGUAGUAGACUGUAGGAUCAUUUAGACAGCUUCAUGAUAUGUGUUAUGUAAAAUUCUCACGAACAAGUAGACCUCUAACAAAAACACGUCUAGCUACUGUC